rnacentral:rRNA from 1 species
AUGGGUUUCGUGCGCGGUGGUGCGAAGACCUGCUCCUGCAACAACUCCGCUCGCAUGGAUAAGAAAGAAGACCCAUGGGCGAGGUCAGUGGAGGAAGUCGGCGCGGGGAGCUGUGGUUUGGGGUGGGAACCUGCGCCGGAGUGGACUAGCCGUCGGCGGCGGCAGGAUCUAGAGAGGAAGAGGAAAGUGACGCGCGUGAUGAUAGGCGACCAAUGGAUCGCCGGGCCGAAAUCGCAUCUCCCUGGCUCUCUCGGCCUCUUCCCCUCUCGCGCCCAAGGCAAAGCGACGCCGGCGGCCGCGACCUGGCCCAUUCUCCGGCCAUCUCGCCGCCUCUCCCCGACUGCGUCCCUCUCCACCCAAAAAAGAAAAAGAAGGAAGAAAAAAAACUGGAUCGGAGACGCACCAGGUCACCAUUCUCUGCGACGCAAGCAGCAGAACAACAAGACAGCUGGUGGCUGCGAGCACUGGAGCGCACGGCAGGGAGAGGGAGCGACGAGGCGCGGCCGGCACAGACCAGAGAGUGUGCAAACGAUGGUUGUUGCACGACAUUACUCAUCUCUACUCCUAAUGGAGCAGUUGAUUAACCAGCGAAAACCAGCGAACAAAAAAUCGGACGACGCCCUAGCUCCCUCCGCCCGCGGGUCGCCCGCUCCCUCGCGCCCCUGUUGCUCCCUCCUCGAUCCCGAUCUGGAUCGAGGGGACGAGGAGCUCCUGCCUCCCCGACGGCCGACCUCCUCCUCGCCCCGCCGCUGCGUCCGGCGCCGCCACGGCCUCUGGAGCCAGGGAAGCCAUGGCCUGAGCUCGGCCUCGAGGUCCCCGCCGCCGUCUCCUGCAGCUUCUGCCCCGCCGCCUCACCGCCCGAGCUCGCCGUCGCACCAACCUCGGCGCCGCGCCGCCGCCGGCUCUGGUCGCCUCCACCUCCGCGCCGUGAGGAACCCGCCACACGCGUCAAGGCGAGGCGCCUCCUGGGCUCCGUCCGUUUCCAGAGCGAGCGCCCGCGAAUACCUAGCUAGCCGCCGCCGUCGUGACCGUUCCAGCCACCGCCAAGGUAAGGUGCUUUCUCCAUCUCAAUUUCCUUCCUUCCCCAUCAAGGUUAAUUUGGAUCCGUCCAUGUCGCCGCGCCCGCCAAACCGCAGGCCACACUUCCUCUUCCACCUCCGCGUACUCCUGGUUGCAGCCCCAGCUCUUCACGGGCAGGGAGAGAAGGGGGGCAUGAUCGGCGGGGCAGAGUUCUUUCGGAAGGACAGCGUGGUGGGCAACAUGGACGGAUACCUCAGCUACCUGUCCCUCGAGUAUGACUUCGUCUCGGACACCAAUCCUGCUUGGGUAUCUUCAUUUUGGAAGCAGGAAUCCUUUCCUCAUAAGAUGGAUGAGCUGUAG